GACGAACGCUGGCGGCGUGCCUAAUACAUGCAAGUCGAACGCUGAAGAGAGGAGCUUGCUCUUCUUGGAUGAGUUGCGAACGGGUGAGUAACGCGUAGGUAACCUGCCUUGUAGCGGGGGAUAACUAUUGGAAACGAUAGCUAAUACCGCAUAACAAUGGAUGACACAUGUCAUUUAUUUGAAAGGGGCAAUUGCUCCACUACAAGAUGGACCUGCGUUGUAUUAGCUAGUAGGUGAGGUAAUGGCUCACCUAGGCGACGAUACAUAGCCGACCUGAGAGGGUGAUCGGCCACACUGGGACUGAGACACGGCCCAGACUCCUACGGGAGGCAGCAGUAGGGAAUCUUCGGCAAUGGGGGCAACCCUGACCGAGCAACGCCGCGUGAGGGAAGAAGGUUUUCGGAUCGUAAAGCUCGGUUGUAAGUCAAGAACGGGUGUGAGAGUGGAAAGUUCACACUGUGACGGUAGCUUACCAGAAAGGGACGGCUAACUACGUG
rnacentral:rRNA from 1 species